UACGUAGGAUGCAAGCGUUGUCCGGAUUUACUGGGCGUAAAGCGCGCGCAGGCGGCACAUUAAGUAAGGUGUGAAAUAUCCCGGCUCAACCGGGAGGGUGCACUUUAGACUGAUGAGCUUGAGGUCGGUAGAGGGGGGUGGAAUUGCUGGUGUAGCGGUGAAAUGCGUAGAGAUCAGCAGGAACACCCGUGGCGAAGGCGGCCCCCUGGGCCGUACCUGACGCUGAGGAGUGAAAGCGUGGGGAGCGAACAGG
rnacentral:rRNA from 1 species